rnacentral:rRNA from 1 species
UGGCUCAGGAUGAACGCUGGCGGCGUGCCUAACACAUGCAAGUCGAACGGGUUAAGGGAAAUUUCGGAUGGAACUUAACUAGUGGCGGACGGGUGAGUAACGCGUGGAUAACCUGCCUCACACUGGGGGAUAGCAGCUGGAAACGGCUGGUAAUACCGCAUAAGACCACAGCACCGCAUGGUGCAGGGGUAAAAGAUUUAUCGGUGUGAGAUGGAUCCGCGUCUGAUUAGCCAGUUGGCGGGUAACGGCCCACCAAAGCGACGAUCAGUAGCCGGCCUGAGAGGGUGAACGGCCACAUUGGGACUGAGACACGGCCCAAACUCCUACGGGAGGCAGCAGUGGGGAAUAUUGCACAAUGGGCGCAAGCCUGAUGCAGCAAACCGCCGCGUGAGUGAAGAAGUAUUUCGGUAUGUAAAGCUCUAUCGGCAGGGAAGAAAGGCCCGAAAGGGAGAUGACGGUACCUGACUAAGAAGCCCCGGCUAACUACGUGCCAGCCGCCGC